GUUAACUUCACACUUACAUACUUUUUUUAUAUAUAUAUAUAUAUAGUGUGUGUGUGUGUGUGUGUUAAGAAAAGUGUUAACUUGCAUAAUUAACAAGGUUUAAAGGCAAACAUGACACUAGAUAUAUUAAAAUAGAACAAAAGCUUAGUAUUAUUAAAGUUGUUUUUAUGCUUUAAAAAGUUAUUUUUUUAUGUUGUCUGAUGGCUGACACACAUUAGCACACACACACAAAAAAAGAAAAAAAAGAAGAAAAAAAACACACACAAGCACAUGCACAUACCUGUAACCACACAUACUCACACACAUAUAGUUGGAGCAAAUCUGUUUUGUGUUUUAUGUAAGAGUAAAACUGAGGUUUAAAAUGUAAGACUGCCUGGACAGCACACAAACAAAAUUAGCUUUAAUUAGCAUUCUUUCUCCAGUGUGCGUCAUUCAUGAGCAUGUGUUUAUGUGUAUGUUUUGUUUGUGAAAUCUGUCAGGCAGAUCUCUGGAUCUUCAACCAGCCCCCAUAUGCAUACGUGCUGACUUUGCAAAAGCAGUCUGCGCUUCCCGCUGCGAGAGGAUGCUUCAGUGCUGCUUCUACCGCAGUACUGUAGAGUUUAACUGGAUACAGAGCAUCUGACAUCAUGAAUGACAACAGAGACCCUAGCAGAUCAGAUCUGUGAACCAAUUUUUGGUGAAACCUCUGAUCUAUAGUGUAUCACAACGAUGAACAACAGCAAACCCGUGCGUGAAUGUGAACACUUACCAGUACCAGUACCAGUAGGACUUGUUGCCUCUCCUCUCUCUGGC